UGGGGAAUAUUGGACAAUGGGCGAAAGCCUGAUCCAGCCAUGCCGCGUGUGUGAAGAAGGUCUUCGGAUUGUAAAGCACUUUAAGUUGGGAGGAAGGGUUGUAGAUUAAUACUCUGCAAUUUUGACGUUACCGACAGAAUAAGCACCGGCUAACUCUGUGCCAGCAGCCGCGGUAAUACAGAGGGUGCAAGCGUUAAUCGGAAUUACUGGGCGUAAAGCGCGCGUAGGUGGUUUGUUAAGUUGGAUGUGAAAGCCCCGGGCUCAACCUGGGAACUGCAUCCAAAACUGGCAAGCUAGAGUAUGGUAGAGGGUGGUGGAAUUUCCUGUGUAGCGGUGAAAUGCGUAGAUAUAGGAAGGAACACCAGUGGCGAAGGCGACCACCUGGACUGAUACUGACACUGAGGUGCGAAAAGCGUGGGGAGCAAACAGGAUUAGAUACCCCCGUAGUCCCUGAGCGGGCUGGCAAGGCGCAU
rnacentral:rRNA from 1 species